rnacentral:piRNA from 1 species
UGACUGGAUCCAUCAGUUGGGCAC